rnacentral:lncRNA from 1 species
CUUUGCUAGUAAAGCAGUCAACCGAUGUGAUCAGUUUCAGUGUUGAUCCUUCCAGCGCCUGUGGCAGCUGGGCAGGCCAAGCACUCUGGGAUCCUCAGGCCUGUUUCGCUUGUGGAUAGUUUCCCACAAGCCACUGCAGCCUGCAGAAAGCAGCAUGUGGCCCUCCUAGCCUGGAUCCUCAUCCCAGCUGCCAGCCUAGGUGCCCCAGUCUCCAGGGCCAGCUGACUCUAUUGUUACUGUGAAAUGGUCCAGACCAGAAAGUUCUGGGGGAUGGAAAGGAAUCUGCACUGCUGUGAGAAACACCAGCACCACAUUUUAUCAGUGAAAGGAAAAAUAAACAAAAGGCUGUUAGAACCUACAAGAUAAUUUCUAACUGUUGGAAAUUUUUGAAUGGUUAUUUGAAAAUCAAUAAAAGAUUUUGUAUCACCUGCUUUGUAUCGUCUGCUUGUGCAAAUAAAGUUUCCUG